rnacentral:rRNA from 1 species
UACGAAGGGGGCUAGCGUUGUUCGGAUUUAUUGGGCGUAAAGCGCGCGCAGGCGGUGCGGUAAGUCUGUCGUGAAAUCUCCCGGCUCAACUGGGAGGGUGCGCCGGAAACUGGAGUGCUUGAGCGUGGGAGAGGAAAGCGGAAUUCCUGGUGUAGCGGUGAAAUGCGUAGAUAUCAGGAGGAACACCUGUGGUGUAGACGGCUUUCUGGGACCAUAGCUGACGCUGAGACACGAAAGCGUGGGUAGCAAAGCAGG